rnacentral:rRNA from 1 species
UACCUGGUUGAUCCUGCCAGUAGUCAUAUGCUUGUCUCAAAGAUUAAGCCUGCAUGUCUAAGUUCAUGCCUCUUCGGAGGUGAAACCGCGAAUGGCUCAAUACAUCAGUUGUGGUUUACUAGACCGUGUGUUUUUACUUGGAUAACUGUGGGAAUUCUAGAGCUAAUACAUGCCAUGAGUCUUCGACUCCCGGCAACGGGAGGAGGAGCGCUUUUAUUAGACCGAAAUCAACCUGGUCGUUCGCUUGCGAGCGGUCCGGUCUCUGGAUCUUCCAGGGGUUUGGUGACUCUGAAUAACCACAAGCCGAUCGCAUGGCCUCGUUGCCGGCGACGUAUCUUUCAAGUGUCUGCCUCAUCAACUGUCGACGGUAGGUUAUGUGCCUACCGUGGUUUUGACGGGUAACGGGGAAUCAGGGUUCGAUUCCGGAGAGGGAGCCUGAGAAACGGCUACCACAUCCAAGGAAGGCAGCAGGCGCGCAAAUUACCCACUCCCGGCACGGGGAGGUAGUGACGAAAAAUACCGGGAAGGGACUCAUAGUCCCCGCUCCCGGAAUGAGGCAACUCUAAAUCCUUUCACGAGGAUCCAUUGGAGGGCAAGUCUGGUGCCAGCAGCCGCGGUAACUCCAGCUCCAAUAGCGUAUAUUAAUAUUGCUGCGGUUAAAAAGCUCGUAGUUGGAUCUCAGCUCCGGCCGGUUUCAGCGGGGUCGUGGUACGUUCUCCGACUGUGCCGGUGCCGGGCUUCUCUCCGCCGGUUGGCCGGCCGAACUGUGCGUUGGCCCUGGCUCGGGAAACCGUGGUCUGCGGCCACGGAUGGUACGGUGGCAAGGUGGCCGGUCACGUUUACUUUGAGAAAAGGAGAGUGCUUAAGGCAGGCUAUACACGCCUGUGGAUCUCGGUGCAUGGAAUAAUGGAAGAGGGCCUCGCGCCUUUGUUUGUUGGUUUCGGGGCGCCCCGAGGUAAUGAUUAAGAGGGACGGUUCGGGGACAUUCGUACUGCGGCGUGAGAGGUGAAAUUCUUGGAUCGCUGCAAGACGAACUGCGGCGAAGGCAUUUGUCAAGGACGUCCUCAUUAAUCAAGAACGAAAGUUAGAGGUUCGAAGGCGAUCAGAUACCGCCCUAGUUCUGACCGUAAACGAUGCCAACUGACGAUCCGCCCCUCGUCGCGUGCAAGACGGGGUGGGCAGCCCCCGGGAAACCAAAGUCUUUGGGUUCCGGGGGGAGUAUGGUUGCAAAGCUGAAACUUAAAGGAAUUGACGGAAGGGCACCACAAGGAGUGGAGCCUGCGGCUUAAUUCGACUCAACACGGGAAACCUCACCAGGCCCAGACACUGGAAGGAUUGACAGAUCUUUUUCCAUGAAGCUCUUUCUUGAUUCAGUGGGUGGUGGUGCAUGGCCGUUCGUGGUUGGUGGAGCGAUCUGUCUGGUUCAUUCCGAUAACGAACGAGACUCCGGCCUGCUAACUAGGAGGCAACUCGCCGAUUUAUUGGUGCGUUCGCCUGCGCUUCUUAGAGGGACGGGCGGCGGUUAUGAAGCCGCACGAAGUCGGAGCAAUAACAGGUCUGUGAUGCCCUUCGAUGGUCUGGGCCGCACGCGCGCUACACUGAAGGAGGCAACGCGCUCCCUCCCUUGUGGAGGGCAAGCCCGUUCGUCGGUGCGUUCCCGGUCCGAGAGGACUGGGCAACCGCUGAAUCUCCUCUGGCCCUCGUGGCCCUUCGUGGUUGGAACUGGGGCUUGAAAUUGUGCCCCACGAACCAGGAAUUCCCAGUAAGUGCGAGUCAGCAGCUUGCGUUGAUUACGUCCCUGCCCUUUGUACACACCGCCCGUCGCUACUACCGAUCGAAUGAUGUAGUGAGGCUUUUGGACCGUUAAGGAGCGGGGCAGUGGUGUCGUUCGCGGCGCUGCUGUCAACGUUCCCCGGGAAGAUGGCCAAACUGGAUCGCUCAGAGGAAGUAAAAGUCGUAACAAGGUUUCCGUAGG